GGAGAGGUGCCGGAGUGGACGAACGGGGCGGUCUCGAAAACCGUUGUGGUCACUUGGCCACCGUGGGUUCGAAUCCCACCCUCUCCG
rnacentral:tRNA from 1 species